ACACGCUGUAGAGAAAAACUCAUUAUUAAUCUUGGCCAAGUCAUAAAACAAACAAAAAAAGGGACAAUAACCCCUGGCAGGAGAGUAUCAGAAAUAAAUGCUGUUACAAUGUAUUAUUUAAAAUGUCCAGUUUUAAACAGGAAAGUAUGGCUUAUCUAGUAUAAAAAAAAAAAUACUCAGUAUAAACAGAAGCUAUUUCCAAGGGUUCCCAAAUGUUGGACUUAACAGACAGACUUCAAAGCAGCCAAUAAAAAUACAUCUUCAAAGAACAAAAGAAAACCGUGUUUAAUCAAAGCAUGAAAACAAUGACUAAUCAGAGAACACUUAAUAAAGAGAUCAACAUUUUUUAAAAAAUGGAAAUUCUGGAGUUGAAAAGUAACUAAAGUGAAAGCUUCAUUAGAGGGACAACAGCAAACUUGAAUGCAGAAGGAAGAAUCAGUGAACUCAAAGAUAAAUCAAUACAAAUUACACAAUCUGAAGAACAGAAGUGAGAAUGAAAAAUGAACCAAGUAGGAAAUCUGUGGGUUACAAUCAAUACCAACAUAUGCAUAAUGGGAAUCCCAGAAGAAAAGAAUAGUGAGGGCCAUACAAGUUUUGACAUCUUUUGAAGAGUCAUAGAAGUUUUUAAUGUCUGAAAACAUUCCAAAUUUAGUAAGAAGUAUAAAUCUGUAUAUCCAAGUAUCUCAAUAAAAUCCAAGUAGAAUAAACAUUAAAAUAUCCACACCGAUACACAUCAAAAUCUUGAAAGCAGCAAGAGAAAAAUGGACUUAUCAUGCACAGGGGAACCCCAGUAAAAUUAGCAGCUGACUUCUCAAAAGAAACAAUGAAGGCCAGAAUUAAGUGGUAUAACAUACUCUACUGUCAAACAAGAAUUCUAAAUCCAGUAAAACUAUCCUUCAAAAAAGAGGACAAAAAUAAAGAUCUUCCCAGAUAGACAAAGAGAAUUUGUUGCCACCAAAAUUUUUUUUACAAGAUAUGCUAAAGCAAGUACUUCAGGCUGAAAGGAAACACCACCAGAUGGUAACUUGAAUCCACAUAAAAAAUUAAAGUACCAGUAAAAGUAAUUAUGUAGGCAAAUGUAAAAAAUAGAAAAAAUACUCUUUUUAAGUUUUCUUCUCUUACUUAAAAGAUAAUUGCAUGGAAAAAUAAUGAACCCAUAUAGUUAUAAAUAAUAAA
rnacentral:lncRNA from 1 species